GAUGAAGAACGUAGCGAAAUGCGAUAAGUAAUGUGAAUUGCAGAAUUCAGUGAAUCAUCGAAUCUUUGAACGCACAUUGCGCCCGCCAGCACUCUGCCGGGCAUGCCUGUUCGAGCGUCAUUUCAACCAUCAAGCCCCCAGGGGCUUGUGCUGGGGCCCUGCGGCUGCCCGCAGGCCCUGAAAACCAGUGGCGGGCUCGCUAGUCACACCGAGCGCAGUAGCACAUCUCGCUCAGGGCGUGCGGCGGGCUCCUGCCGUGAAACCCCCCACUGUAACCCCAAAGGUUGACCUCGGAUCAGGUAGGAAUACCCGCUGAACUUAAGCAUAUCAAUAAGCGGAGGA
rnacentral:misc_RNA from 1 species